GACGAACGUUGGCGGCGUGCUUAAUACAUGCAAGUCAACUGAAGCAGUGGUAGCAAUAUCGCUGUGGAGGUGGCGCACGGGUGAGUAACACGUAGGUAAUCUGCCUUCAGGUCUGGCAUAACUCCGGGAAACCGGGGCUAAUAGCAGAUGAUGCAGCGGCUCGACAUCGAGACAGUUGUUAAAGCUAUGGCGCCUGAAGAUGAGCCUGCGUCUGAUUAGCUAGUUGGCGGGGUAACGGCCCACCAAGGCAACGAUCAGUAGCUGGUCUGAGAGGAUGAUCAGCCACACUGGAACGGAGACACGGUCCAGACUCCGACGGGAGGCAGCAGUAAGGAAUAUUGCUCAAUGGGAGAAAUCCUGAAGCAGCAACGCCGCGUGAGGGACGAAGGGCUUUAGCUUGUAAACCUCUGUAGUGAGAGAAAAAAAUCCCAAUCUUUGGGACAUGAUGGUAUCUCAAAAGUAAGCCCCGGCUAACUACGUG
rnacentral:rRNA from 1 species